rnacentral:lncRNA from 1 species
AUGGAUUAUAUUCCUUCCAAUACACUCCAAUUUGACCAAGCUUUACAACAAGCUGAUGAGCUGUUCCAAAUCUCCUGCCUUCCCUACACAGAGCACACAACCCAAGAAAAUCAAGCACUCCCACCGACUCCAUCUCAAGAUGGUCGUGAUCUCACUUGCAGGCCAAAAUCUGGCCAGAAGCGCAGGGCAUCAAUAUCUUCAUCCAAUAUCACUUUUGGUGAAAUUGAAGAUGAGCAAAACCCAAAAGGCAAUAAGAAGAUCAUGCAUAGAGAUAUUGAACGGCAAAGAAGACAAGAAAUGGCCACCCUUUAUGCAUCUCUUCGAUCACAACUUCCCCUUGAAUAUCUCAAGGUACAGUCCAAUAUAGCUAGCUAGUUAAUUUUCUCAAAUAAUGUCAAAUUUCGAGAUUCAUAUACAACUGUUAAUCAGCAGUGUGUACUGGAUAAUUCGAGCAAUCAACGGUCUUGAUACGAAAUCUUGUAACAUAACAUGUCAUCGUGACGGUUAAAGGCAUUGGCAACAUUUUUCGGUUGGAGACUUCACAAAUUUCGUUUAUACUUCCGCAGAACUGAGUUUGUGUUUAUGAUGACAAUUGUUGGUAGGAGUCUAAGAACUAUGUGGGUUUUUUUAGGUUUGAAUUUUGGUUAAGUUGAAGUAUAAUGCUAUCUCAAAUUAGGGAUUUUUUAGACCAUAAGAAUUAUUUUGCUUUGUGUAUAUAUAUAUAUAUAUAUAUAUAUAUAUAUAUAGUAUAUACAUAUAUGUUUUGGUUUAUAUAUCAAUCCUUCUGUUUAGUGUAUUUGGUUUAUACAUUUUGUAUUAUUCUAUGGCUUCAGGGAAGGAGGUCUAUAUCUGAUCAUGUUCAUGAGACAGUGAAUUACAUAAAACAUCUACAAAGCAAUAUCCAAGAGCUGCAUAAUAAGAGGGAUGGGCUGAAAAGGUCGUGCGAUACUUCAUGCUCUUCCAGUACAAGUACU